UACGGAGGGAGCUAGCGUUGUUCGGAAUUACUGGGCGUAAAGCGCACGUAGGCGGCUUUGUAAGUUAGAGGUGAAAGCCCGGGGCUCAACCCCGGAACUUGCCUUUAUGACUGCAUCGCUAGAAUCCGGGAGAGGUGAGUGGAAUUCCGAGUGUAGAGGUGAAAUUCGUAGAUAUUCGGAAGAACACCAGUGGCGAAGGCGGCUCACUGGACCGGUAU
rnacentral:rRNA from 1 species